rnacentral:rRNA from 1 species
GGAAUCUGCCUAUUAGUGGGGGACAACAUUUCGAAAGGGAUGCUAAUACCGCAUACGUCUACGGGAGAAAGCAGGGGAUCUUCGGACCUUGCGCUAAUAGAUGAGCCUAAGUCGGAUUAGCUAGUUGGUGGGGUAAAGGCCUACCAAGGCGACGAUCUGUAGCGGGUCUGAGAGGAUGAUCCGCCACACUGGGACUGAGACACGGCCCAGACUCCUACGGGAGGCAGCAGUGGGGAAUAUUGGACAAUGGGGGGAACCCUGAUCCAGCCAUGCCGCGUGUGUGAAGAAGGCCUUUUGGUUGUAAAGCACUUUAAGCGAGGAGGAGGCUACUUUGGUUAAUACCUAGAGAUAGUGGACGUUACUCGCAGAAUAAGCACCGGCUAACUCUGUGCCAGCAGCCGCGGUAAUACAGAGGGUGCGAGCGUUAAUCGGAUUUACUGGGCGUAAAGCGUGCGUAGGCGGCUUUUUAAGUCGGAUGUGAAAUCCCCGAGCUUAACUUGGGAAUUGCAUUCGAUACUGGGAAGCUAGAGUAUGGGAGAGGAUGGUAGAAUUCCAGGUGUAGCGGUGAAAUGCGUAGAGAUCUGGAGGAAUACCGAUGGCGAAGGCAGCCAUCUGGCCUAAUACUGACGCUGAGGCACGAAAGCAUGGGGAGCAAACAGGAUUAGAUACCCUGGUAGUCCAUGCCGUAAACGAUGUCUACUAGCCGUUGGGG